AGAAAGUUUAUGAUAAUAAAAUAUGAUUGAAAUGAAUAAUGAAAACUUGAGUAUUGUCAAUGUGUUCAAUUUAAUGUGCAAUGUGGCAUGAGUGGAUAUUUCCGGUGGCAGUGAAAGCCCCUUGGAUUUUAGUUGGCCAAAAAUUUGUUGCAGCGAGAAUGCCUUUUCGCUGCGGUGAGAGUCAAUCUAUUAUGCUUGACUUGCUUGAAUUCUACUAAAGUGCUCACUUCUCAACUUCUUUGUUGUUCAUGAGUUUUUCAUCAUCAAGUGACUAAGCGACCAAGGGUUUGAAUGAGAGGUUUUUAGUUUCUUGAGUUAAAGAUGAUUGGAUCCUAGGACAAGGUGCUCCUCCCUAUCCAUUGCUCGGUAGGUUUAACGUGGCACUAAAUGUUAGCAACUGUGCUCAGAGUGACUCCACUAGUGGUCAAGGUUUAACCAUGUGUAUAUGAAUACUGGGUGGGAAAUACUAAGAAUCAUUUGUUAAUC